rnacentral:tRNA from 1 species
GGCCCCAUCGUCUAGUCAGGCCUAGGACACCAGGUUUUCAUCCUGGCGACCGGGGUUCAAAUCCCCGUGGGGUCACCA